rnacentral:rRNA from 1 species
UACAGAGGUCUCAAGCGUUGUUCGGAUUCAUUGGGCGUAAAGGGUGCGUAGGCGGCGCGGUAAGUCGGGUGUGAAAUCUUGGAGCUUAACUCCGAAACUGCAUUCGAUACUGCCGUGCUUGAGGACUGGAGAGGAGACUGGAAUUUCCGGUGGAGCGGUGAAAUGCGUAGAGAUCGGAAAGAACACCAACGGCGAAAGCACUCUGCUGGGCCGACACUGACACUGAGAGACGAAAGCUAGGGGAGCGAAUGGG